AUGAACGCUGGCGGCGUGCCUAAUACAUGCACGUCGAGCGAACGGACGAGAAGCUUGCUUCUCUGAUGUUAGCGGCGGACGGGUGAGUAACACGUGGAUAACCUACCUAUAAGACUGGGAUAACUUCGGGAAACCGGAGCUAAUACCGGAUGAUAUUUUGAACCGCAUGGUUCAAAAGUGAAAGACGGUCUUGCUGUCACUUAUAGAUGGAUCCGCGCCGCAUUAGCUAGUUGGUAAGGUAACGGCUUACCAAGGCAACGAUGCAUAGCCGACCUGAGAGGGUGAUCGGCCACACUGGAACUGAGACACGGUCCAGACUCCUACGGGAGGCAGCAGUAGGGAAUCUUCCGCAAUGGGCGAAAGCCUGACGGAGCAACGCCGCGUGAGUGAUGAAGGUCUUCGGAUCGUAAAACUCUGUUAUUAGGGAAGAACAUAUGUGUAAGUAACUGUGCACAUCUUGACGGUACCUAAUCAGAAAGCCACGGCUAACUACGUG
rnacentral:rRNA from 1 species